rnacentral:rRNA from 1 species
UACGUAGGUGGCAAGCGUUGUCCGGAUUUACUGGGCGUAAAGAGCGCGCAGGCGGUCGUGCAAGUCGCGUGUGAAAGCCCCCGGCUCAACUGGGGAGGGUCACGCGAUACUGAUCGACUCGAAGGCAGGAGAGGGUAGUGGAAUUCCCGGUGUAGUGGUGAAAUGCGUAGAGAUCGGGAAGAACAUCGGUGGCGAAAGCGCUCUGCUGGACUGCAACUGACACUCAGGGACGAAAGCUAGGGGAGCGAAAGGG